AUGCUCCUGCUGCUCGUCCCAGUGCUCGAGGUGAUUUUUACCCUGGGAGGAACCAGAGCCCAGUCGGUGACCCAGCUUGACAGCCACGUCUCUGUCUCUGAAGGAACCCCGGUGCUGCUGAGGUGCAACUACUCAUCUUCUUAUUCACCGUCUCUCUUCUGGUAUGUGCAACACCCCAACAAAGGACUCCAGCUUCUCCUGAAGUACACAUCAGCGGCCACCCUGGUUAAAGGCAUCAACGGUUUUGAGGCUGAAUUUAAGAAGAGUGAAACCUCCUUCCACCUGACGAAACCCUCAGCCCAUAUGAGCGACGCGGCUGAGUACUUCUGUGUUGUGAGUGA